rnacentral:rRNA from 1 species
GAUGAACGCUAGCGAUAGGCCUAACACAUGCAAGUCGAGGGGCAUCACAUGAAGUAGCAAUACGGAUGGUGGCGACCGGCGCACGGGUGAGUAACACGUAUGCAACCUGCCUUCAACAAGGGGAUAACCCGUUGAAAGACGGACUAAUACCCUAUAACACAGGGGUCCCGCAUGGGAAUAUUUGUUAAAGGACAACCGGUUGAAGAUGGGCAUGCGUUCCAUUAGCUAGUUGGCGGGUAAGGGCCCACCAAGGCAACGAUGGAUAGGGGAACUGAGAGGUUUAUCCCCCACACUGGUACUGAGACACGGACCAGACUCCUACGGGAGGCAGCAGUGAGGAAUAUUGGUCAAUGGACGCAAGUCUGAACCAGCCACGUCGCGUGAAGGAAGACGGCCCUACGGGUUGUAAACUUCUUUUGCAAGGGAAUAAAGUGGGCCACGUGUGGCCUUUUGCAAGUACCUUGCGAAUAAGGAUCGGCUAACUCCGUG